CGGACGGGUGGAGUAAGCGUGGAUAACCUGCCUCACACUGGGGGAUAACAGUUAGAAAUGGCUGCUAAUACCGCAUAAGCGCACAGUACCGCAUGGUACGGUGUGAAAAACCCAGGUGGUGUGAGAUGGAUCCGCGUCUGAUUAGCCAGUUGGCGGGGUAACGGCCCACCAAAGCGACGAUCAGUAGCCGACCUGAGAGGGUGACCGGCCACAUUGGGACUGAGACACGGCCCAA
rnacentral:rRNA from 1 species